UGCGCAGCCUCCCGCAUAGGCUCCGUUUACUCGUUUCUAGAACGAGGGAGGGAAAGGCCGUUGCCCUAAACAGGCGAUCACGGUGCCCAGGACAGGGCCCGGCUGUCCCCACCUCAGCACCUGCCGUUUUCCUCCAGCGCCGCUCUCCGGACCUCCGCCCCGACGCCCGCCUCUUAAAAACUGUUUUCUCUGCAUCAUUUUUCUCGUCCCACGAGGCCCCGCCCAGAAGCCACCUCUCCAGCCACGCCCCCCGCGCCGACCUCCUGUCGCCUUCCGGCCGCGAGUCGGGGUCUCCCGCGCCCUCAGCCCCGCGUCCGUGUUCUUUGUGGCUCUUUCCACCUCCCUGCGCCGCCCCCACCAGCCCGGCUAAGCCGCAGGCUUCCCCGGAGGCUCCCGGCUGCACCCUUCCUGUGUCCUCAGACACCACUUCCUGUCCGCGCCCGUCGCCACCCGUGGAGAGCGUGGAGAACGUGGAUCACGGGGCCACGGCCGUCCGUGCAGCGUGCACGUGGGGACGGCGGAGGAAGCGACUCGAGUGCCGCGUGCGGACGGGUGGCCCUCGCUUGCACCGAGGCCGCCUCCCGCGGAGCUGGGCCUGCUGAGCGCCGAGCGGACUCGAGACGCACGACUCGACCCGGGAAGGGAAGCCGGCCACGCAGCAGCUCAGUCGGCGGGAUCCCCGGCCCCUGCGCUCUGCACUUCAGGCACAAGACAUGCACGACUCCCUCUUCCCUGGGGCGUCCCUUUGUUCCAAGGUUCCCGUUACCUUGGUGAAAACCUUCCAAGUCCUGCGUGGGCCCGCGUCCCAGGUGUCCUAGGAAGGGAGCCGGCAGGGAACAGAUCUGCUAAGUGACAUGAACCACGGGCUCCAUAACGUGGCCUCAACGUGGCUCCGACGGCAGCGACACGGAAAACGGCGCGGAGCAGACGUCUGACGCCUCCAGAGGACCUGGCCUGUUAACUUUGCCUUUUUAGGAAAAAUAACGUCUCCAUUUUUUUUCUGGUUUAAAAAAUAGUAUCUUGGGGCGCCCGGGGGGCUCAGUCGGUGGAGCGCCCGACUCUUGGUCUCGGCUCAGGUCGUGAUCUCAGGGUUCGUGGGAUCGACGCCUGCACGGGGCUGUGCGCUGAGAGCGUGGGGCCUGCUUGGGAUUCUUGCUCCCCCUCUCUCUGCCCCUCCCUCUGUCUCAAAAUAAAUAAAUUAAAAAAAAAAACUUAAAAAAAUCUUAUACAAAUGCCAAGGAAGGGGUCGUGCUUCGCUUCACAAAGGGCUUCUAAGAGGACUUAUCAGCAGAGGGUGGGAAAUCUAAUUUCAGAUUUCAGAGCUGGAAAUCUGAUUUCAGCGUAUGACCGUGGGUUUGACAGAAACCUUGGGAGCACGCAGAUCGUGCGGGAGAGGGCGCAGCUUCCACAGCGGUGGCCUGAGGGUCCCCAAACCCCCCACCUGAUGCUCUGCCCGGUGCGUCCCCCCCUUCCCCGCCUCUUGUCCCAGACCUGGAACACGGCCAGGACUUGCUGGUGCCCCUUCCUCCUGAGGUCUGUGGAAAACGAGGAUAAAAACCAACACAUUCUUGGGAAACACCUGACUGUGUUCUUCAGUGGAGUUAGGAGGGAAGACUUGCUUCUUUCCCUGCCUUUG